rnacentral:rRNA from 1 species
AUUGAACGCUGGCGGCAGGCCUAACACAUGCAAGUCGAGCGCGAAAGCACUUCGGUGUGAGUAGAGCGGCGGACGGGUGAGUAACGCGUAAGAAUCUACCUAGUAGUGGGGGACAACUCGAGGAAACUCGAGCUAAUACCGCAUACGCCCUACGGGGGAAAGCGGGGGACCUUCGGGCCUCGCGCUAUUAGAUGAGCUUGCGUUGGAUUAGCUUGUUGGUGAGGUAAUGGCUCACCAAGGCUACGAUCCAUAGCUGGUCUGAGAGGAUGAUCAGCCACACCGGGACUGAGACACGGCCCGGACUCCUACGGGAGGCAGCAGUGGGGAAUAUUGCGCAAUGGGCGAAAGCCUGACGCAGCCAUGCCGCGUGUGUGAAGAAGGCCUUAGGGUUGUAAAGCACUUUCAAUUGGGAGGAAAAGUUAACGACUAAUACUCGUUAGCCUUGACGUUACCUUUAGAAGAAGCACCGGCUAACUCCGUGCCAGCAGCCGCGGUAAUACGGAGGGUGCAAGCGUUAAUCGGAAUUACUGGGCGUAAAGCGCGCGUAGGCGGCUUUUUAAGUCGGAUGUGAAAGCCCCGGGCUCAACCUGGGAACUGCAUCCGAUACUGGAAGGCUAGAGUGCGAGAGAGGGAGGUAGAAUUCCAUGUGUAGCGGUGAAAUGCGUAGAUAUAUGGAGGAAUACCAGUGGCGAAGGCGGCCUCCUGGCUCGACACUGACGCUGAG